rnacentral:rRNA from 1 species
AUUGAACGCUGGCGGCAUGCCUUACACAUGCAAGUCGAACGGCAGCGCGGACUUCGGUCUGGCGGCGAGUGGCGAACGGGUGAGUAAUGCAUCGGAAAGUACCCUUCAGUGGGGGAUAACGUAGCGAAAGUUACGCUAAUACCGCAUAUUCUGUGAGCAGGAAAGCAGGGGAUCGCAAGACCUUGCGCUGAUUGAGCGGCCGAUUUCAGAUUAGCUAGUUGGUGAGGUAAAGGCUCACCAAGGCGACGGUCUGUAGCGGGUCUGAGAGGAUGGUCCGCCACACUGGGACUGAGACACGGCCCAGACUCCUACGGGAGGCAGCAGUGGGGAAUUUUGGACAAUGGGGGCAACCCUGAUCCAGCCAUGCCGCGUGAGUGAAGAAGGCCUUCGGGUUGUAAAGCUCUUUCGGCCGGGAAGAAAUCGCAUGGGUUAAUACCCUGUGUGGAUGACGGUACCGGAAUAAGAAGCACCGGCUAACUACGUGCCAGCCGCCGCUGUAAAAC